rnacentral:tRNA from 1 species
CCGACAUUAACUCAGUUGGUAGAAUAAAGGAUUGUAAAUCCUUAGGUCGUUGGGUCGAAUUCGACAUGUCGGA